rnacentral:rRNA from 1 species
UACGGAGGGUGCAAGCGUUGUUCGGAAUCACUGGGCGUAAAGCGUGUCUAGGCGGACCUGUAAGUUCGUUGUGAAAGGCCUUGGCUCAACCAGGGACGUGCAAUGGAUACUGCGGGCCUUGAGUAAUGGAGAGAUGAGCGGAAUUCCGGGUGUAGCAGUGAAAUGCGUAGAUAUCCGGAGGAACACCGGUGGCGAAGGCGGCUCAUUGGCCAUUUACUGACGCUGAAGCACGAAAGCGUGGGUAGCAAACAGG